UCUCAGUAAUUUCCAAUUUAUAGAAACUUCCAUUGAAAAAACACAAUUGCUGAAUCAAGAACCUUCCUUUUUCAUCUGAGGUUGAAAAUGGAAGUUCUACAUGUACAACAUCGGUGGAGAUUGAGGUGGUCGUUCAAGAAUGCUACCAUUAUUGUCACUUUCUUCAAUAUAAUUGCUGCCCUUUUUCUACUUCACAGCUUUUUCUCUUCUUCUUCAUCUUCCACCACACCAUCUUCAGUUGAAAGUUAUAUAAUGGAAGCAGAAGAUAUUCGCCGUGCUAUGUUGCCUGUGGAACUAAUUAAAAGAGUGAAGGAAAUUCAGAAAGAAGGGCGUGUCGAAUCAGAUCCUGUCCAACAGAAGGAUGCAAAGCAGACUGCUGCCGUAGACCUCAUAUCAAGACUGAACAAUUAUCGGUCAUAUUCAGAUUCAGGCAGCGUGAAAGUGUUUUCUGCUGUCAUAGUGGAGUUUACCUGUGAGAUACUGCUCCUUUAAUUGUAUGUGUUGAGAUCCAUGGCUGAAAAGUGGUGUGCCUCUCUCUAUUCUGUUCUGGAGGAAUGGCGUAAGCGAAAGAUGGAAAGAGCCAGGCAACGCGAACUUGAAAAGAAUGGAACCACCAUCUGACAGUCCUAAAUCAUUGAGGGGGGUUGAAAACAUGGAGUCAUUUGAUUGAUACGGCUCGUAGAAUCAGUUGUAUAUGUAUAUGCUAUUAACAGAUAUGUCUAUUAUCAUGUAUUCAGAUUCUGCUGCACUUGGACAAUUUUAUGUCAUAUAACAGGUUGAGUUUCUCUACCUAA